UACGUAGGUGACCAGCGUUGUCCGGAUUUACUGGGCGUAAAGAGCGCGCAGGCGGUCGUUCAAGUCGAGUGUGAAAGCCCCCGGCUCAACUGGGGAGGGUCACUCGAUACUGAUCGACUUGAAGGCAGGAGAGGGAAGCGGAAUUCCCGGUGUAGUGGUGAAAUGCGUAGAUAUCUGGAGGAACACCGGUGGCGAAGGCGGCAUCCUGGACCGGUAUUGACGCUGACGGCGCGAAAGCCAGGGGAGCAAAGCGGG
rnacentral:rRNA from 1 species